rnacentral:rRNA from 1 species
UACGUAGGGUGCAAGCGUUGUCCGGAAUUAUUGGGCGUAAAGAGCUCGUAGGCGGUCUGUCGCGUCGGCUGUGAAAACCCGGGGCUCAACCCCGGGCUUGCUUUCGAUACGGGCAGACUAGAGUAUGGCAGGGGAGACUGGAAUUCCUGGUGUAGCGGUGAAAUGCGCGGAUAUCAGGAGGAACACCGGUGGCGAAGGCGGGUCUCUGGGCCAUUACUGACGCUGAGGAGCGAAAGCGUGGGGAGCAAACAGG